AAAAGGUCUUCUUCUUAUAACUCAAAAAGGAAGCCCUCCUCUCUCCUCCAACCGCCGGUGCUCGUUCCGUCUCGCCAUGGCUUCCGGAGCCGCGGCCGCCGCACGUCGCCUUCUGCUACUGCGCCACCGCCGCCGCCACCUCGUUCCCAAUCACCACUUCUCUUCCUCUUCCGCGGGCGAAGAGCUGGACGGCGGCCGCGUCAAAAUCUUCGAUCGCGAUCUGAAGUGCCGACACCGGGACCGGGCGGCGUGGGCGAUGCGGGAAACUGAUCCACUGGUAGACGCAGUCGCCGAUAACCUCCUCGACCGCCUCGAGGACUGCAGGAAGGCGUUCCCCUCGGCAUUCUGCCUCGGCGGUUCGGCCGGCGCCGUCCGCCGGUCGCUUCGUGGCCGCGGUGGAAUCGAGAAAUUGACCAUGAUGGACAUGUCGGUAGAUAUGGUGAACAAGUGGCGGGAGUUGGAGAGUGCUACCGACGACGGCCCCGAGAUGCACUUUAUCGUUGGAGAUGAAGAGUAUCUUCCUAUCAAAGAGAACUCCCAGGAUUUGAUAAUGAGCUGUCUUGGGCUUCAUUGGAUAAAUGAUCUACCUGGAGCCAUGAUACAGUGUAGGUUGGCGUUGAAGCCUGAUGGCCUUUUUCUUGCAGCAAUUCUUGGCGGGGAGACUCUGAAGGAACUAAGAAUUGCAUGCACUAUUGCUCAAAUGGAACGUGAGGGAGGCAUCAGUCCUCGAAUGUCGCCACUAGCACAAGUCCGUGAUGCAGGAAACCUUUUGUCAAGGGCAGGCUUCGCCCUUCCAGGAGUUGAUGUAGAUCGAUAUACAGUCAAGUACAACAGUGCUCUGGAACUUGUGGAACAUCUUAGGGCAAUGGCAGAAACAAAUGCUCUCUUUCAAAGAAGCCCUAUAUUAAAGAGAGAUACAGCACUAGCUACUGCAGCCAUUUACCAGUCAAUGUUUGGGUUAGAAGAUGGAACCAUACCAGCAACCUUUCAGGUAAUUUACAUGACUGGGUGGAAGGAGCAUUCAUCACAACAAAAGCCUAAGAGAAGGGGUUCUGCCACUGUAUCAUUUGGUGACAUAAGGAAACAAUUUGGUUCCAACCAAGACUGAAGAACUUUAUCGGAUAUGGUGUUAUUGGGGUGUAUUUUUUCAUGGUUGCAAACAAGAUGUUGCUGGUGUUGGAGCUCACAGAGAAGGGUAUUAUCAUAGUCUACUUACUUUUGAAGGUGCAUUAGAAGAUAGUGGAUGUCCAGAUUCUUUGGCCUAAGAAAGGUGGUGAUAAAAAUUCUGAAGUAUGGUCAACAUUUUCCUUUAAAAUGGAAAGGGAAAAUAAAGAAGAGAACACAUUUGGGUACACUCACCAGUACAGUUUGUUGUACGUUUAUCUUGCUUUGGGGUUGCAGACCCUAAGAUAUCAAGAUAGCUCAUUUAAAUGGUAUAUUAAAUCUCCUGAUGGUAUAACAUGACAUUGGCAGGAAUUAUUGAUGACUACUUUGAUAGGUACUUCUAAGAAAUGAUUGUCUCAGGUACUGUGAUGCUCUUUAAAAAAAAGAUAGUGUGAUGCUCGCAGUUCUAUCGUUUUCAAUGCUUGCAUAAGCCAUUGUGAUACAUCAUUAAAAGACUUUUACAAAGUGUUUACUCGAAUGCAUCUACAACAACGGGUAUGUCUCUGACCUUGUACUUUCAAACAAUUUAUGCUACGAACUGUAGAUCCAUCCCAAGAAUUAGAAAUGAGAACAAAAUUAUGAACUGUAGCCCAGUUGUAUAUUUAUUCAUCACAAAUUCAGUUCUGGAGAUUGUAAUGUAUAUUUUUCCUUCCAUUAAUCAAGGUACAGUUUGCUGGUGCCAUGCAUUUUCUCUUACAGUCAAUUAAUUUAGUUUAUCCUUCUGUUGCAAGAAAAAAUGGUUUACCCUUUUCUUCUUGAUUUCUGUCAUUAUCUCAUUCCACCCCAACGCAUGGUAUAGAUUUUCUUCUUCGAUCAUCUCUGUUGUUCCAAACUCCACGGGCACCUUCAUUCUUGGCAGAUUUUAUAUUUCUCAGGUUGGACGGCACGCAGUCAUACCUGGUCAACAUCCAGUUUUAGAAGAAUGUACAACUACAGGUAACCAUGACGAGUCACCGAUCUUUCGCUCAAUUUUGUUUGGAUGGUGUGUGAUUCCUUUCAAGGAGUCUUCAAAGUCGUUCUAGAAGAUUUUAGGAUGUGCCGAAUUGCGCAUUGUUUCUAGUAGUUUCUGUAAUUUCUGCUUCUGUUGUAUUUGUAGACGUCAGCAACACCAUCUCUGUGUAGCGAGACAGUUCUUAAUGUAACUCUCCUUUUCUAUUUUAAUAAAGAUCAGCCAAGGCGUUUCGAGUGGUCGUC